UGGGAUGAACAAUCCAAGGCGCUCGAGAGAAUCUGGUCAAGGAACUCGGCAAAAUAACCCCGUAACUUCGGGAGAAGGGGUGCUCUCUAGGGUGACAUGUUUAACAUAUGAAGCCCCGGGGAGCCGCAGUGAAUUGGUGGUGGCGACUGUUUACUAAAAACAUAGGUCUGUGCGAAGUCCUAAAGACGACGUAUACGGACUGACGCCUGCCCGGUGCUGGAAGGUUAAAAGGAGGGGUCAGCGCAAGCAAAGCUCCGAAUUGAAGCCCCAGUAAACGGCGGCCGUAACUAUAACGGUCCUAAGGUAGCGAAAUUCCUUGUCGGGUAAGUUCCGACCUGCACGAAUGGCGUAACGAUCUCCACACUGUCUCGGCCAGAGACUCGGUGAAAUUGCAGUCGCGGUGAAAAUUCCGUGUACCCGCAGAAAGACGGAAAGACCCUGUGCACCUUUACUAUAGCUUGACAUUGGAUUUUGGGCCUGCAUGUGUAGGAUAGGUGGGAGGCUGUGAACCCUGUACGCCAGUAUGGGGGGAGCCAUCCUUGAAAUACCACCCUUGCAUGUUUAAGAUCCUAACUUCUUCCGGUUAUCCCGGAGAAAGACAGUGUCUGGCGGGUAGUUUGACUGGGGCGGUCGCCUCCUAAAGUGUAACGGAGGCAUGCAAAGGUUCCCUCAGCCUGAUCGGAAACCAGGCGCUGAGUGCAAACGCAUAAGGGAGCUUGACUGUAAGAGAGACAUCUCGAACAGGAACGAAAGUUGGCGUUAGUGAUCCGGUGGUCCCGAAUGGAAGGGCCAUCGCUCAUUGGAUAAAAGGUACGCCGGGGAUAACAGGCUGAUCGCAUCCAAGAGUUCACAUCGACGAUGCGGUUUGGCACCUCGAUGUCGGCUCAUCACAUCCUGGGGCUGAAGCAGGUCCCAAGGGUACGGCUGUUCGCCGUUUAAAGUGGUACGCGAGCUGGGUUUAAAACGUCGUGAGACAGUUUGGUCCCUAUCUUCUGUGGGCGAAGGAGAAUUGAGAGGGCCUGUCCCUAGUACGAGAGGACCGGGAUGGACGCACCCCUGGUGAUCCUGUUGUCGCGCCAGCGGCAUAGCAGGGUAGCUAUGUGCGGAAGGGAUAACCGCUGAAAGCAUCUAAGCGGGAAGCCUGCCUCAAGAUAAGUUCUCCCCUCGAAAGAGCUGAAGGGCCCGGGUAGACUACCCGGUCGAUAGGCUGGAGGUGUAAGCGCGGCGACGUGCUCAGCUGACCAGUACUAAUAGCCCGAGCGGCUUAUUU
rnacentral:rRNA from 1 species